rnacentral:lncRNA from 1 species
CAAAAACUAUCAAUUGGUUAAAGAAAUAGUUUGAAUUGAAUAAUUUUUGAAAUACAAAGUUUUGUCUAGGAAUACUGAUUGAACAUUUGGACAAUGAAAUUUUUGUACACCAAGAAACUUACAAAAAAUAUGACAAAAUAUUCUAUAUGGACAAAUGUGAUCUCGUGUCUACGCCAAUAAUUGUUAGAUCAUUAGAUGUGGAUAAGAUCAUUUCACAUCUCAAGAGGAGAAUGAAAGACUACUUUAUCUUGAAGUAUCAUAUCUUGAUGUGAUUCGAGCAUGAGUGUAUCUUAUUAAUUAUAGACGUCGUGACAUAUCAAUUUAUAUCAAUUUAUAUCAAUCUAUUAGUAAGAUAUAGUUAUUCACCCACACAAAUAUAUUGGAUAUGAGUCAUACAUAUACUUUGUUAUAUUAAAUAUACAUCUUACUUCUUAGAUACUUGUAAUGGUAGAUCACGAACAUAUUAUUUGUUUUCUUGUGAUGAUACAACUAUUUCAUGGAAAAAUGUGAAUUCAUAAUAACAACUUCAUCAAAUAAUGCACAAUUUUUAAACAUUACAAAAAGUCACUUUUAAAUGGAAUUCUUAACCAACUAGUAUAAAAAAUUAGUAUUCAUUGUCGAAGAGAUGGUCUUAUAGGUGAGGUGAAAAAUUUAAUGUAUCAGUCAAUAAAUUCUUAUAAAAAUAUAUUUUAAUUUUUUUUUUCUAAUAAGACUUUAUCGAGGCAUAUCCUCGAUAAAUAUAAAAAAAAAUGUUAAUGCGUAAUAUAUUAUAGAUAUUCAAUAUGUCAUCUCCCAAUAAACUUUCAGUAUUAAAUAUUGAUUAAUUCCCUUAACAUGAUGUCGUCAUUUUAUUUAUAUCUAAACAAACUCAUAGUACAGUGUAAAUGAAGGCUUGCAAUAAUAUUAAUAAUACAACAUGUUUUUUCUAUGUUUUCUUUCUCUCCUUCAUCUCUAUUUUUCUACUAUAUUUACUGUAUUGUUUAAGAUUAAUUUCAUAACACAUAAUAUAAUUGAUACAUUUCAACUAGAAAACAAACAUGAUAAAUUUCACCAUCUAUCAAGAAAAUUGAAAGGUUAAAGUAAUCUAAAUUAAAAUUAAUCAUAAGAGAGACAAAAUUAUGACGUGUAAAUAAGUUUAUACGCCUUCAAUUAAGAAAUAAUUAAUUAUAUAUCAAGGUUGCUACAAUGGUUUCAUACACAUGCAUUGAGAAUGGAUACAAAUUUCUAAGAAAGGAGAAAGACAGUAAUUUUGACAAUCAUAGUCGUCAAUACACAACACAGAUUCAGCUGUGAUAUGUAACCAAAAGUGAUGAGUGUUAAUUAAAGAGAAUGGAAAAAUUUUAUAUACAAAAUAAAGCAUUAAAAAAAUGAAAAGUUGAGAAAAAGGAUAUACCUGAACUUACAUCCCUUAAAAUAAAAAAUAGGGAGAAAAAGAAGAACAUGACAUAAAUAAAUUUAAGAUAUUUAGUCAUACUUUUACUCAUGUAAAUAUAUAAACUUUUAUAUCAAUUUAUAAUGAAUAUUUUUAGAAAUUAUGGAGAUGCAAGAAAUUCUUGUUUCUUUUCCUUACACUCAUGUGUCAUAUUUGUCUUUUAGAUCAUUUAAAAACAAUCUAACAGAAAUAGUUUAUAUCAACCUUUCGGUUACAUUUAAUUUCUUUUACAACCUUUCAUGAUAGACAAGAAAAAGAACAUGUAAACAAUAAGUAUUGAACUAUAACAAAGUCACCAAUAGUAAUUGUAUUACAACAUCUGAGAAUCUUCACCAUGAGUUGUUGGAUCAGAAAAACAAAUUCGCAUGAGUUUCUAUAGUUGUUGGAUCUAUAAAUCAACCAUAACAACUAGCUCCAAAAGUUGGUUCGUAAACGAAUUAUAAUUUGAUUUUUCAAGUUCGACUCUUAAGAAAUUAUGGUUUUUUUGGCCAAUCCAAUAAUAAAUUUUUUGUUUUAAACUAAAAAACUGAUUUUGUAUUUAUAAAAAAUAAUUAGAAAUACUAUGCACAAGAUACAUGCUCACCUAACUUUAAAUUUGAGAAAUAAUAUAAUGAAAUUUAAGAGACUAAAUCAUACUUUAAUAGACAACAAAUACACAUACUCCACAAUUUCAUUAUCACCAAUAGACAAAUUCUGAUAAACUUAUUAGUACAAAAAUGUAGAUACGCUAACAAAAUUUUAAUGAUUGAAUUCUUGAAUGUU